AAGUUGCGCCCCAAGCCGCUAGGCCGAGGGCACGCUCUGCCUGGGUGUCACGCAUCGUUGCCCCACACCUCCCCCGUUGUCUUCUUCGGGGCGUGGCGGUGAGGGCGGAUAUUGGCCUCCCGUGCGCUCUUGGCGCGCGGUUGGCCUAAAUUUCAGUCCCUGGCGAAUGGCGCCGCGGCGAUCGGUGGUGUUGAAAGACCUCUCGAGAACACGUCGCGCGUCGCCCGUCGGGACUCGCGGACCCUAGCGCUUAGCGCUCGCUUCGCGACCCCAGGUCAGGCGGGACUACCCGCUGAGUUUAAGCGUAUCAAUAAGCGGAGGAAAAGAAACUUACCAAG
rnacentral:rRNA from 1 species